UACGUAGGGUGCAAGCGUUAAUCGGAAUUACUGGGCGUAAAGCGUGCGCAGGCGGUUAUGCAAGACAGAUGUGAAAUCCCCGGGCUCAACCUGGGAACUGCAUUUGUGACUGCAUGGCUAGAGUACGGUAGAGGGGGAUGGAAUUCCGCGUGUAGCAGUGAAAUGCGUAGAUAUGCGGAGGAACACCGAUGGCGAAGGCGAUCCCCUGGACCUGUACUGACGCUCAUGCACGAAAGCGUGGGGAGCAAACAGG
rnacentral:rRNA from 1 species